GAAGGGGGCUAGCGUUGUUCGGAAUUACUGGGCGUAAAGCGCGCGCAGGCGGUCUUCCAAGUCAGUGGUGAAAGCCUGGAGCUCAACUCCAGAACUGCCAUUGAAACUGUUAGACUUGAGUACGAGAGAGGUGAGUGGAAUUCCCAGUGUAGAGGUGAAAUUCGUAGAUAUUGGGAAGAACACCAGUGGCGAAGGCGGCUCACUGGCUCGUAACUGACGCUCAGGCGCGACAGCGUGGGGAUCAAACAGGAUUAGAUACCCUGGUAGUCCACGCCGUAAACGAUGAAUGCUAGCCGUUGGAUAGCUUGCUAUUCAGUGGCGCAGCKAACGCAUUAAGCAUUCCGCCUGGGGAGUACGGCC
rnacentral:rRNA from 1 species